rnacentral:lncRNA from 1 species
UUUUUUUUCUUUUUUUGUCUUUUUGCCUUUUCUAGGGCCGAUCCCAUGGCAUAUGGAGAUUCUCAGGCGAGGGGUCUAAUCGGAGCCGUGGCCACCAGCCUACACCAGAGCCACAGCAACGCGGGAUCCGAGCGGCGUCUUCAGCUGACACCACAGCUCACGGCAAUGCCGGAUCCUUAACCCACUGAGCAAGGCCAGGGAUCGAACCGCAACCUCAUGGUUUCUAGUCGGGUUCGUUAACCACUGAGCCACGAUGGGCACUCCAUCUUUCAAGUUCUUGAAGCAGAUUUGGAGAAUAGACACACAUGCAGAAAAGAAAAAGGAAAUUCAUUCUUUAUCCUCUUCACUAGAAUAUUAACAUUCGGGAGCAUUUUAUUCCAGUAUCUGUUCUAUGCACAUGCGCCCACAGUUUUGUUUUUAUGAAAACAGGAUCGUUGGUCAAUAGACAUUUCUUGAGUCCUCAUUGAGGGUGGGGGCUGUGUGGUCUUCCUGGCCCGCGGGCUCCUCUUCUUGGCUCACCCCCAGGUCCUGCCAGGCCCUGCUGUGCUCCCGAGUCAUUGCAGGUGUGGGAGAAAGUGGGCACCAGGAACUCGGGACUCCGCGGCCCAGUGGUUCAGAAGUUUGGGCUUUGGAGAGGGCAGAUCUGGGUAACUGGCUGUGUGGCUUUAGCUGGGUCACUUGCCAUCUCCAAGCCUUGGCUUCGACAUCUAUAAAGUAAUACUCAGAGCAUCUGCCACAGGGCAGGUUUGAGAACCAAAUGGGCAAGUGCUGGGCACACAGUCGGUUCUUGACGAAUAUUCUAUUGAGUUCUCUGCAGGUGGCGGGGCCUCCAUGCUGGGGGUGUUUCUCUUCCUGAUGUUCUUAGGUUGCAAAGCUGGAUCCAGGUCAUGGGAGACAGCUUAUGACAGUUCAGUGAUUAAAAUCUUGCCUAUUCGGCUUGAGGUCAGGGCCUGGAAAAGCUUUCACCACCCUGUGGUGUUUCCAGAAAACACAGAAUCUGGCCCCAAUCAUCUUCCUUCCCACAGGUUGUGAAUGUGGGUGUGAUUCUCAACCGAAAAACCAAAGCCGACUUCACAGCUGAAGACCACCAGCCAGCCUCCCUCCUGGUGACAACCGCGACCCCUCUGAGUUUCGCCCCAGCUCCCCCCACCCCCAGGGCUCAGGUGGGACGAGCUCAGAUGGGUGACAGGCUGGGGGCUCACAGGUGCACAUGACAGCUGGCAGGUGCUCAAUAAGUAAGCAAACCAGCCAGCCGAGGGGGUGGGUAGUGGGAAGACGGGGGGGAAACAAAUCUUCAUCUUUUCUGCCCACAUUUAACCCCCCAGCGCUCAGCCCAGAGCCUAGGGGUGCCUGAAGGACCCAGCAGGCUGGUGAGGGGCAAACCACCUUGUCUGUCCUCAGACCCACCCCCUGCCCCGUGACCCCUCUCCAGGCUCAGAUCGCUUCAUUCCCCACGGGGCACUCAUUUGCUCUCAAGCGUCCCAGUCUCUCCCUUUCCUGGGGGAAUUUACCAGGGCACCCCUGGAUGUGCCUUCACCCCAGAGGCUGGCUGGCUGGUGAUGGACUUGCAGGCACUGAGGGAAGAUAGUCUAGAGAAAUCUCUUGCAGGUAACCCACAGAUAAGCCCACCUCUGAGAAAUGCCAAAGCUGCUGGUCUGUUCAGCUGACCCUGGUGCCCCAGCGUCCCAAGGUAGCUGACAUGGGAAAUGCAGUAAGAAAGGGGUUUGGGGGUUCGGCGUGCUGAGAGCUGCUGUGUGGUCCUGGGCAGGCCCUCCCAGGGCCACUGAUGGGGACACAGCCAUGAGGGCUGGGGGACAGAGAGGCCAGAGGGAGCUUCCCAGGUCAAGGGCAGGUGGGCACUCCACAGGGAAGCAGUUGGAGGUCACGCGAACCAGGAAGUGGCAUCGGCAUUAACCAGGGAAGGGGGAGCAAGAUGAACAACAGUAAUAAUAACAUGAUGAUAAUUUCCAUGAGUUAAGGAUAACAAGCGAGGAAUUUUGCUCAGAUGGUCUCAUCUAACCUUCCCCGUGACCCUCUUGUAUGGCAGGCAUUAAAAACCAUGGCAUCUGGGGUCAGAUCAUUGGGGUUCAGAUCCUAACCCACCAAACCUUGAUCCCUCAUCGCCCACAAGACGUAACCAGAGCCCCUUUCCCCAGGGGGUGGGUGGGCAGUGAAUGUGAACGAUCACUAGGCACAGUGGUAGAGAAGCAAGGCUCAAAUCAUGUGAUUAUCAGUAUUAUGGAUGCAGAGAUGGAGGCUCAGAGAGACCAAGUCACCUGCCCAAGGCCACACAGUGAGUACGUGGCGGAGUCAGAAUGUGAUUUCAGAUCUCUGGGACUCCAACCCCACUCCUUCCCAACAGCCCCUGCCUCUCUGAUGUCUCUUCUGUGCCUUCAGGAAAGUACAGUAUCCAAAACCACAGGCACCCUAAAACGACAUUCAUCUUAGAGGCCCAGAGAGGAGAGGAAUUUUCUGGAAGUCACGCAGGGAGUCUGCUGCCUGGCCAGGACUAGACCGUCAGGUGGGGGAACUCUCACACCAGCCCUCUCACCCAUUCUCUGCAGGACCUAGGGAUGGGUCCCCCCCUUUCUGGACCCCUGCCCCGCUGUGCCCUCAUCUCCCUUGGGGCACAGGAAAUGAUGGCUACGAUCCAUUCCAAACCACAGGGGAAAUUUUUUGUCUGGGCUGGACUAGAAUCCGGCCAGAGCCCCAAGUUAGAGGUUCCCAGUCAUAUGCUAAAUGCGAAGGGCAGGGGCUGUGUGAGCAGGGUGGGGGGGCACAUUUCAUUCCCACAGCCAUCUGGCCUCGGGGUUUCCCUCGCCUGCUGUGGGUAGCUCUGAACCAGGCGAGCUUCCGAGCUGGGGACAGAGGAUCACGGACUCACCUGCGCAGACCAUCCUGGGGUCAGGCACGAGGCGGGUCUCGGGUCAGCUUAGCUCCAGCCUCGGAUCGGAGCCAGUGCUGGGUUGGGCACAGCCGAUGGACCUCCCCUGACCCCAAACUGGAGGAGUCUCUUGUCCCUACAGACCCCCAGCUCCCCACUGUCUCAAAACCUUUCCUAAAUGUCCCUUCAGGGAUUCACAGGGAACUUUCCUACAAGGAUUUCUGCCUCUAAAAGACCCCAGCCUCCAGAAUCCAGCACCAAAGAGAAGAGCCGAGGUUAACUGACUUUUUUUUAGGGCCACACCCGUAGCAUAUGGAAGUUCCCAGGCUAGUGGGUGAAUCAGAUCUGCAGCUGCUGGCCUACACCACAGCCACAGCAACACAGGAUCCCAGCCGUGUCUGCAACCUACACUGCAGCUCACGGCAACGCUGGGUCCUUUAACCCAUUGAGAGAGGCUGGGGAUCGAACCCGCGUUCUCAUAGAUGCUAGUUGGAUUUGUUACCGCUGAGCCACAAUGGGAACUCGAAAUUGUGACUUUUUAGCUGAGGAGAUGCCUCUGGCUUCUCAUCUGUUCACUCUGUGGGUUGGUGUGAGGCGAUGAGCUCUCAGAGGAGAAAUUCUGGCUCUACAAACUGUAAAGGGCAGGGAAAGAACUACAGUUUCUCCUUAGAUUGAUCCAGACGGCAGCACCUGGCCCUGCCAAGGCCUAACACAGCCCUGGUGCUCAGCUCUGGCCUGGCCUCUCCAGGGCUUUCCUGGAGGCUGCCAGGGUGGUAGUGGGCAGCGCCCGGAGCCCCCAGGACUGGCAAGGUUGAACCCUAAGGUGAGGGUGGGGUUGAAGCAGGAAUCAAAUCUGGCCGAGCACAGACCUGAGCCCCAGACAGACCAGAGCUAAUUUCUGGGGCCCUCGAGAAAGGCCUUUGUUCCGGUAGCAAUUGGGGGACACCAGGGCAGGGAACCACGAGUUAGGACACAUGGAUUCUGGUCCCUGCUCUGGCAUGGCCUCUGGGGGAAGCAGAUGGACAAGUCCUUUGUCCUUGCUGGGCCUCAGCCUUCUUCUCUGCACAAUGAGGAUGCACCUAUCAUUCUGAAGCCAGGCCAGGGAAUUGGGUAUGGUCCAAGCAGAGGCUGGAGUUUUCAGUGAAUCUGUGUUUUUCUGCAGGAGGUAGGCAGCUGUGGCCUCCGUGAAAAUGGCUCUUCCGGUGUCUGAGCAUUUCAGCAAGACAGGCUGAGGGUAGAGGGACUCAAUUGUCUAGUCUUCUGUCCGUCUCCAUGGUGCCUGGGGCUCUAGCACUUGACCUCCAAUCAAGUCAAGUUCCCCUCUACUCACCCUCCUGAGUUGCUGGGUGACCUUGGCUCAGUCACUCCACCUCUCUGGCCUCCACUUGGGGUAAUGGAGCUGCAAAGGCCUCAGCGAGGAGCAGCUUGCGCUGGCCACCCACUCCCCCCUUUUGGCCAUAUGCCACUCCUCCUGUGAGAGCCACCAACUAGGAGAGCCCUGGGAGAUGGUGGAAGCCAAGUGCCUGGUUUCAGAUGCAGGAAACUCAGACCCCGAGAGGGAGAAGUCGGCCACCCCCAUUCCUCAUGCCCUGUUUUGCUCCCCAUACGCCCUUCCUCCCUCGCCCUCUAAAAGCAUCUGCGUGAUGGGGUAGAUUUCACUCAAGUGAAGAGGUCCGCAAUGGGGGCUCAGGUCCCAGCACCCCAGCUUUCAAGUUCCCAGACUCCCAUGAGGCCCCAUGUUCUCAGCUGUGCUCUGGGCAGGGGAAGGGCUGGAGGGGGAGGGCUGACACCCACGUUCCCCAAGGCCGGCCUGCCAGGCAGCCUGAAGAGCCCUGGGAAGGAGGUGGCUGAGGCGGCCAGUGGGCACUCAAGCCCAAGCGUCCGCAGGGGUACCGAGAGCUUUUGAUGACAAAGGGAACAUGAGCGUCUGUGGUCAGUUGCAUCGUUCUUGCUGGUGCGGCCCCUCCUGUCUGCUCAACGAUUCCUACUUUGUGGGUGGCUGGCUUGGCCUCGUCCAUGGUCAUCUGUUCUUUCUUCCCCUGCUCCUUUCUGGUCACUGGUGUGGCUGUGGUGGCGAUGGCUCCUUCCAUGAGCAGAAGGAGGGCCCCUGUGCUGGCCCAGCUACUCCCACAGUCCAUAAGCGGCCCCUCACCUCUGCUGGCAUGGCUGCUGGAUCCAGAUCUGAGGCCACAAUGUCCUGAGUUCCUGGCAGUUCUCAUGGCAGCCCCCUUCAGCCAGGGCCCGUCCAGCCUCCAUCACCCAGGGGGGCCCAGCCCCCCACCCACUCCCUGGAGACUCGAGACUGUGCGCUCACGUCUUCCUUGGAACCUCUCUCUGACCCCCACGCCACCUGUGAUGAGCCCCACCCACCUUGGCCCUGGCGACCUCUGGACCCCCAAGGACAGAGUGGCGUGCUCCUACCUCACGGGACCUCAGCCACUGCCAGAGGGACAGGGAGUAGGGACACAGGACACACUCCCCCACCAGCUCCCUCCCAUGAUAUUCCAGGACCAUAAGCAAAUAGCUAGGGGGUCCCGCAUCCGUGAAAGGGUGGCAAACCUGCCGUCCUGGGAAAGUGGUCCUCUCCAUGGCCUCGCUGGGACCCUUCUGUCACUCCCAACUGAGCAGCAGGUCCCAGGGCCUGCCUUUCCCAGAGGUUACCGAAGGGGAGAAGAGAAGUUCCCGGAAACCUGUCCCAGGUAACUACUGCUCCACGCUUCUCCCAGUCUCCGGCUGCCUUGGUGGUAUGAAUUCAGUCCACAGCCUUGGGAACCUACUGUGUGCCAGGUACUGCACGCCCCCUGGGGAUGCAGCAAGGAGGGGCCAGAUCCAUCCCUCAUCUGGGGAUGCUCACAGUCUGGGUGGGGACCCAGGCAGAAAACUGCGCAAAUCAUGAUUUAAGUGAGAUUAUAAGGAGCAUGCAGAGAGGGGCUGUGGGCUGUGAGGGCCCAUACCACAGCCAGUCCUGGAAGGUUCCAGGAGGAAGUGACCUUCAGGCUGAGGUCUCAGGCUCGAGGAGGAUAUGGUCAGGCAAUCGGGGGAGAAGCUGAUGCUCAGGCAGAGGAAAUACCAUGUACAAAGGCUCUAAAGCUCUUUAAAGCUCCUGGAGUCCAAGUCGUUAUCUGCCACCAUUUGCCAGGCUCCUGGGACAGGAUGGCCCAGAGGUUUAAUGGCUCAGGCUCCAGCGCCACAUCACAUGGGUUCGAAUCUUGCUUUGCACGUACUAGCUAUGAGAUAAUGAGGAAGUAAUUUGACUCCCUCUGCCUUAGUUUCCUCAUCUGUAGAGUGGGGGUAAUACUAGUCAGCACUUCCUGGAGGUGUCGGCAAAAUUAAAUGGGAUCAUUCAUGUAAAAUGCUUAGCCUAAAAUAAGCACUCAGUAAAUAUUAGCAACUCAUUAAUCAUAAACCCCAUCUGUGGAGCACCUGCUGUGUGUCAGACACCCCGCUACACAUUCUGCAGAUAAUCUUCACACAGAUCUGCCAGCUUGGACUCGCUGGCCCAUUUCAGAGAUGAGAACACUGAGGGCAGAGGACCGAGUCACUAAGGUGGAGAUUGACUGAGGUUUUGGAGGACUCACCCGUGGCUUCUUGGAGGAGGUGGUGGCUGGGACGGGUUUUGAAGAUGGGCAGCCUGGCCGCCCCAACCCCCUCCAGAACGUUGCAGCCCUAGGGGCUUCCUGGGUCUGGUGACGGGACAAAGGGGUACUCUGGCACUUCCAAGGCCUUCCUGGAGUCCCAGCAAGGGAAGGUCCCAUCGGGCCAGGCUCUCAGACCACAGAGCCUCCAGCGAGCGCCAAACAACAAAAAGGCUUUUCUCACUCUGGAUGAGUCACCAGACCGAGAGAGCAGACCCAGUGCCUGUGCUGAAGAAGCUGAAACCACACAUCUGAAGAAGUUUCCCACGGCCACCACUUGCUUUAAAUAGCUGCAGAGAAGUGGGGGCGGGAUGGAGUGGGGGUCGGGGGCAGGGUUCUCUCCCGCAAUCCCUGGCUGGGGUCUCCUCCCCAGCCCCUGCACGACCUUGACCUGAAGCCCCCUGGAGGCUGGUCCUUGCCGGGAACUCAGACUUCACCGGCACCAGGGGAACAAGCCAAGGUCUGGAGCCCUUGGUGGGAUGAGGGGACAGUGGACAGACAGCUGGAGAGACAUCCCGCCAGCCUGUGGGCCCGGGGAGGCGGGGGGGUACAAGCCCCGGGGAAGGGGGAAGUUGACCUCACCCUGCACCCCGGUGCAGCCUCCCGGCCCCCAGCCAAGCUUCCUCGCAGGUCACCU